AAAGACAUCAGUGAUGCCAGUAGUUGACUGCUCAUUUUAUCUAGCUCUCACCCAAAGAAAUAUUAAUUUAUCAUUAAGAAUAAUUUUUUAUGAAUAACAACGCCCAUUGAAAAAGACUAAGAUUCUCACCCAAAGAAAUAUAAAUUAUCAUUAAGAAUAAUUUUUUUAUGAAUAACAACGCCCAUGAAAAAGACUAAGAGAAUUGGGUCGAAGUAGUCAAGUUUGGUAUAUCAUCCCUUACACCUACCUCUUACGCUUAAAUGUAAGAAAUCACGCAAACAGGGGCAAGAAAUGCAACUCAGAACUAGUGUCUGAAGUUCAUGUUGUAAUUUUAGACGAGUCAUCUCUGGCGCCAAAUGGAUGGACGACGCUCAAUGAUACAUAUGCAUAAAAAAGGGGUUAUGAUCGUUUAAAUUUUCUGCCCUUUACCUUCAAUGCAUGGGGAAAAAGAGAACUAACGUAUACUUACUUGC
rnacentral:lncRNA from 1 species